rnacentral:lncRNA from 1 species
AAGAACUUAAAACGAGAAUAGACUAAGAAACCUCUUUUGCUUUGAUAUUUGAUUAAUCUCCAAAAAAAAAAACUAGCCUCUCCAAAAACUAGCCUUUACAAUAACUCUUCUCCUUGAUUACUCUAAAAAAACCUCUCAAAAAUCCUUUACAAUAACUUUCUCCCCCAAAACUUCUUCCUCCCCUAAAUACAAAAUAUGAGAAGGCUUAUAUAGCCAUUUACCAAAUAUUUUUUAUUGUUUAUGUCUUCAUUUGUAGGUGCAAGUGGUGGUGGAGCAAGUGUGGCUAGUGGAGUAGGUGGUGGAGCAAGUGUGGCUAGUGGAGUUGGUGGUGGCAAAGGCAAGGAUUUAGUUAAGAAAAGUUUAGGUUGUGGGCUAGGGUUUUGAUGUAAAUUGGGCUUUGGGUAGUUAAGAUUUUGGGUUUAGGGUUUAAUUUUGGUGGGUUAGGUAAGGUUAAAUUGGGUUUUGAUGUAAAUGGGUUAAAAUUGGCCUACAACAGCUGCCCCUCUUUGCUUUUUAUCGUGUAACGGGAAUAAAGCAAAGACACAAAGAAAGGUCAAUUUUGCUUGGUCUUGCUAAGUAUGGACUUCUUUGGUGCUCUUCUCAUCCAGGUAGUCUCUUUCCAAACCAUUGUAUCUUGUCUUGAUCAAAUCCACUGCAUUUUCUGAUAUAUGUCUUGUAGCUUCGAUUUACUCCAAGGUGACUUCAAAAAGAUAAGAUCUACAGCUUCAAUCGACUCUUCCAUCGCUUUAGUCAGAUAAAAUUUGUGGUCUUCUCUUCUGCAACUUUUAGAAAGGUAAGAUCUGAUAUCAUCGAUCAGCUCCACUGCAACUUCAAUUAGCUUCACUGUAACUUCAAGGAUAUAAAAUCUGUGUCUUCGAUUAAUUCCAGUCUUUAUUCUUUACUCGGCAUGUGAUCCUGAGCUUAACUCAUUUCUCGCAAUAUGAAUUGACUCUUUAAAACUAAACAUUAAAAACAGAAAUUGAAAAUAGCUCAGCACGUGAGCCAAGGCUCAACUCACUUUUCGCAAUAUGAGUUGAUUUUUAAUACAUCGGUAUGUGACCCGAGGCUCAACUCACCUCUCAUAAUAUGAGUUGAUUUUUGCAAAGCAUAAAUUGAAAAAAAAAAUAAAAAUAAAAAUCAAUUGAAAAUACCUCGGUGUGUGAUCUGAGGCUCAACUCACCUCUCGCAAUAUGAGUUGAUUUUUUUAACAAAAUAAAUUGAAAAGAAAUUAAAAAUAUCUCAGCGUGUCCUGAGGUUGAACUCAGCUCUCGCAAUAUGAGUUGAUUUUUUGAAAAAACAAAAUUUGAAAAUACCUCAGCGUGUGAGUCAAGACUCAACUCACCACUCGCAAUAUGAGCUAAUUUUUUUUUGAAACACAGAAAUGGAAAACACAUCAGCAUCUUGAGGUUCAACUCACCUCUCGCAAUAUGAGCUAAUUUUUUUUGAAAGACAGAAAUUGAAAAUACCUCAACAUGUCUUGAGGCUCAACUCACCUCUCGCAAUAUGAGUUAAUUUUUGACAAACAAAAAUUGAAAUUACCUCAGCGUCUUGAGGUUCAACUCACCUAUCGCAAUAUGAGUUGAUUUUUUUGAAAAACAGAAAUUGAAAACACCUCAACGUAUCUUGAGGUUCAACUAACCUCUCGCAAUAUGAGCUGAUUUCUUUUAAAGAUAGAAAUUGAAAAUACCUCAACGUGUCUUGAGGCUCAACUCACCUCUCGCAAUAUGAGUUGAUUUUUGACAAACAAAAAUUGAAAUUACCUCAGUGUGUCCUGAGGCUCAAGUUAAUUUUUUUGAAAAACAGAAAUUGAAAAUACCUCAACGUGACUUGAGGUUCAACUCACCUCUUGCAAUAUGAGUUGAGUUUUGACAAACAAAAAUUGAAAUUACCUCAGCGUGUCCUGAGGCUCAACUCACUUCUCGCAAUAUGAGUUGAUUUUUUUAGAAACAUAAAUUUAAAAAACGAAAAUUGAAAAUACCUCAACGUGUCCUGAGGCUCAACUCACCUCUUGCAAUAUGAGUUGAUUUGAAAAGCAGAAUUUGUAAGGCAAAAAUUGAAAAACAGAAAUUGAAAAUACCUCAACGUGCCCUGAGGCUCAACUCACUUCUUGCAAUAUGAGUUGAUUUUUGAAAAACAGAAAUUAAAAACAGAAAUUGAAAAAUAGAAAUUAAAAAUACCUCGACGUGCCCCGAGGCUCAGCUCACCUCUCGCAAUAUGAGUUGAUUUUUGAAAAGCAUAAAUUGAAAAAACAGAAAUUGAAAAUACCUCAGCGUGUGACAUGAGGCCCAACUCACCUCUCGCAAUAUGAGUUGAUUUUUUUGAAAGAUAGAAAUAAAAACAUCAAAACACCAAAAGAUGUCAUCUGGUGAAACUCGGUGUCCUUUCCUUUGAUUCAGUACAGCUAUCAUCGAAAUCUCUUGUUCUGCUGAAAUACAUGUAUAUGUCAUGCAUGAUGUUAUCAUGAAAUGCACAUGUUUGCCUUAAAUGCCUUUAUGAUCAUGCUAUGUGCCUUGGGCUUGCUUGCCAUAUGUCCUUUUCCGUCAUGAUUUUUGAUGAUCUGCGUUCAUUGCUUUGACUCUUGACUUUCUCUUCAGGCCUUGUACCCAUCCUCUAGCUUCACGACUAAUCUGUGUUUCUCAGAUAUCGUUCUUUUGCCCCUAGUUGAACUUUGUCCUUGCUUUGAGGCUCUUGUACUUAUCAAAUUCUUGUCCGAGUAAUGCUUAGCACUUCUUUUGUUUAGAAUAUGUCAUUUCACUAUUUAUCAUGUAAAUGAACCACAUAAUGAGAUGCAUGAAAAUGGUCAAGUAGGGACAAAAGAAUACCUCACAUUUAUUCAUUUCAAAUGUAGCAAACAAAGAAAGUUAAUCAAUGAUAGUAAAAAAAAGUGUCAUAAAGAGAAAGGGGAUCGUAUUUCAAAAAAUACAAAUGCUCUAGAUAUUCAACGCAUGAACUCUUCCACGUUCCUCAAUCAAGAAUCUUUUCAAGCAUGGCUUUCUUGCGUAAGAGAUUUCGAGUUUUCAGAAAUGCUUCAAAUACUAUAGUCUCUCUGUUUGACCCACCGUUCAAAACGCCUUACUUUUUAAGCCAGUGCUUGCUUCAUUAGAACGCCCUUUAGGGUUUUCAUCCGAAUCUUUUGUGUUAAUUAAGAUGUCCUUUUCGUGUUUUCACCUUGAUCACUCUCUCUUUUUCUUUUUUCUUUUCUUUUUUUUAAGAUGCCCUUUUUCGGGUUUUCAUCUUGAUUUUCCUUUUUUAAGCAUAAUAUUUCUUCACAGCAUCUGAAUUCACUAGAUUCGGUAACUCCUUCCCAUUUAUCUCAGUGAGAAUCAAAGCUCCGCUCGAGAAUGCCUUCUUUACGACAUAUGGUCCUUCCCAAUUUGGUGCCCAUUUUCCUCGUAAGUCCUUCUGUAUUGGAAGAAUCUUUCUCAGCACGAGUUCUCCUUCGUGGAAUUCUCUUGGUCGUAUUUUCUUGUCAUAGGCCGCGAUUAUUCUCUUCUGGUACAUCUGUCCGUGACAAAUUACCUUUAAACGUUUUUCUUCGAUGAGGUUUAACUGGUCAUAUCGAGCUCGAACCCAUUCUGCCUCCUCUAGUUUCGAAUCCAUUAAGACUCAUAAAGAGGGGAUCUCAACUUCGAUAGGUAGCACAGCUUUUAUUCUAUAGACCAGAGAGAAAGAAGUUGCCCCCGUAGAUGUCCGUACAGAUGUGCGAUAUGCAUAUAAAGCAAAUGGUAGCUUCUCGUGCCAAUCUUUUUAUGUCUCAGUCAUUUUCCCAAUAAUCUUCUUAAUAUUCUUGUUGGCUGCUUUAAUAGCUCCGUUCAUUUUCGGGCGAUAGGGUGACAAGUUAUGAUGCUUUAUUUGAAACUGCUCACACACUUGCUUCAUCAUUUUGUUGUUCAGAUUCAAGGCGUUAUCUGAAAUGAUUCUCUCAGGCAAACCAUAUCGACAAAUGAUUUCCUUUUUCAAAAAUCUGCAAACUGCAGUCUUUGUCACAUUGGCAAACGAAGCAGCUUCUAUCCAUUUUGUGAAGUAAUCAAUAACCAAAAAAAUGAACCGAUGUCCAUUAGAAGCUUUUAGGGAAAUUGGCCCCAUAACAUCCAUGCCCCACAUAGAAAAGGGCCACGGAGAAGUCAUGACAUGAAGGGGCGAAGGGGCAACAUGAAUCUUAUCACCAUAAAUUUGACAUUUGUGGCAUUUUCUUGCAAAACUAAUGCAGUCGCUUUCCAUCGUCAGCCAAUAGUAACCGAGUCUCAUAAUCUUCCUGGCCAUAGUGAAACCAUUGGCAUGUGUCCCACAAAUUCCCUCGUGGACAUCUUCAAGUAUUUUUCUAGCUUCAAUAGCAUCUACACAUCUCAAGAGCACUUGAUCUUUUCCUCUUUUGUACAGGAUGUUCCCAUCAAGAACAAAUCCUGCUAUCAUUCUUCUGAUUGUUUGUUUGUCAUUCUCAUUUGCUUGUUCGGGAUACUUUUGGUUCUUGACAUAUUCUAAGAUAUCAUGGAACCAUGACCAUCCAUCUGGCUCUUUUUCAAUGCUGAAACAAUGUGCAGGGACUUCAUAUAUGCUCAUUUGAAGAGGCAUUAUUUUUGUUUCUCUGUUUGCUUUGAACAUUGAAGCCAAAGUGGCCAGGGCAUCAGUCAAUUGAUUUUCUUCUCGUGGGAGGUAAUUAAAAGUUAUUUCUUCGAAUUCUUUAAUCAGCUCUGCCACUAGAUCACUGUAUUUGACUAGUUUCGAAUCUCCCACUUCCCAAUCUCCACGGAUUUGGUAUAUCACCAAGGCUGAGUCUCCGUAUACCUUUAAACUUUUGAUGUUUCAUCCAAUUGCUGCACGAAGUCCCAUGAUACAAGCCUCAUAUUCUGCUAUGUUAUUGGUACAGAAAAGUUCAGCCUGGCAGUGAGUGGGUAAUGAUUUCCUUCUGGUGAUACUAAGACUGCUCCAAUCCCAUGCCCCAAUGCAUUCGAUGCACCAUCAAAACUCAUCUUUCAUGACUUUUCUUUUGAUGACUCACAUUCUUUUUCUAUAAUGCACAUUAAGUCUUCAUCUGGGAAAUCAAAUCUCAAUGGCUUGUAUUCCUCCGUUGUUCGAGUUGCUAAGAAGUCAGCUAUUGCACUCCCUUUUAUCGACUUUUGGCUCACAUAGACGAUAUCAUAUUCUGAUAGUAAGAUCUGCCAUCGUGCCAUUCUUCCUAAGAGUGCAGGUGAUUCCAUCAUGUACUUUAUUGGGUCUUACUUUGAAAUUAGCCAUGUCGUAUAAUACAACAUAUAUUGCUUGAGUCUUCGAGCUACCCAAACCAGAUCGCAACAGCAUUUUUCUAUGGAUGAAUACUUUGCCUCAUAUUCAGUGAACUUUUUGCUGAGGUAGUAGAUCGCCUUUUCUUUCUUUCCGAACUCGUCAUGUUGCCCCAGUACGCAACCUAUUGAAUUCUCGAACACAGUCAAAUACAAUAUCAAUGGUCUUUCCGGCAUUGGUGGUACUAGCACUGGAGGACUAGACAAAUACUGUUUUAUCUUGUUAAAAGCCACUUGGCACUCUUCGUUCCAUUCUCCGGGAUUAUGUUUUCGAAUGAGUCGAAAGAUUGGGUCGCAUUGGUUGGUAAGUUGAGCGAUAAAUCGGGCGAUGUAGUUUAAUCUCCCUAAAAAUCUCUGACUUUCUUUUGCGUACGCGACGGUGGUAACUCUUAAAUGGCUUUUAUUUUAUCUGGAUCAACUUCAAUGCCUCUCUCACUGACAAUGAAGCCAAGCAAUUUUCCUGAGGUAGCCCCAAACGUACAUUUGGCCGAAUUGAGCUUUAGCUGGAACUUUUUCAGUCUGUCGAACAACUUCUUCAGGUUCAUUACAUGCUCUUCUUCCCCUCGGGAUUUAGCAAUCAUAUCAUCGACAUAGACCUCUAUUUCUUUAUGCAUCAUGUCAUGGAAUAACGUCACCAUAGCCCUCUGAUAUGUUGCCCCAGCAUUCUUUAACCCAAAUGGCAUCACCUUGUAGCAGAAUGUUCCCACAUUUUUACGAAGGUAGUUUUCCCAUAUCCUCAGGGGCCAUCUUGAUCUGAUUAUACCCCGAGAAUCCAUCCAUGAAAGAAAGCAAUGAAUGUUUUACUGUGUUAUCCACAAACGUAUCAAUGUGUGGUAAGGGAAAAUUAUCUUUGGGACUUGCUCGAUUCAGGUCACGAUAAUCCACGCACAUUCGUACUUUGCCGUCUUUCUUUGGUACCGGAACUAUGUUGGCCACCCACUCUGGAUAUUUGGAGGUUUGUAGGAAGCCAGCAUCAAAUUGCUUCUUAGCUUCCUCCUUUAUUUUCAACAUCUCAGGUCUCAUCCGUCUUAGCUUUUGUUGAAUUGGUUUGCAUUCUGGCUUCAAUGGGAGCUUAUGGACCACUACAUCUUCAUCUAAUUCUGGUAUAUCCUGAUAUGACCAUACGAAUACAUCUUUGUACUCACGGAGCAAAGCAAUCAAAUUAUUUUUUGUGCCCCUUGAAAUAGAGGUCCCAAUCUUCACUUCUUGCUUCCUUUCUUCAGCUCCCAAGUUUAUUGUUUCAACAAAUUCUUGAUGAGGCAAAAUCUGUUUAUCCUCUUGUUCCACUAUUCUUAGCAAGUCAGGAGACGAGACAAUACUCUUCAGCAUUUUCUUCGGCUUCAAAUUUUCCUAAACAAACAACCUUCUCAAAAUUGAUUUUAGGACUCGUAACGGGUUUGCUCAUGCAAUUGAUAUCUGAGCACCUGAAAAUUGAAUGGAAAAGGAAACUAUAGAGGGGCAUCCAAGUAUUGAAACCAACAAACUAAAUGUUAUGGUAUGGCAUGAGGCAAAUGUAAAGAUAGGCUAUGAAAUGAUUAUGGAAUUAGUGAUAAUGCGAAAAAUCGUGACAAAAUGCAUCUUCAUUAAUAUUCAUUUAAAUGAUAAAGAGCGAAUGCAAGCUCUUACAAAAGAAUUCUAUUAUAUCUAAGGACAUAACAGAAUGUUAACGUUUGAGCAUUACUCUGGAGACUUAUAAACUAUAAGAAGAUCCUCGGCAGUCCAAUUGUUCAACAUAAAACCCGAGGGACAAGGGCGUAUCUUUGAGACGUCUUUAUUCGCAUCAGCUUUUUUGUCAAUGACAUUUAUACUGAUAUUCUGAAAACCCUCUUCGAUCAUUAACACAUUAUGCUUUGUGCACUAUACUGCCCUGGGUAUAUCAUUCCCGCAGACGUAAAUGUUCUUGACAAAUAAGGGAAUUUCAUGGGCUCCCAUUCUGGUUCUCGGCCUAAUGUUCUCGCGAUCCUUCUUUCUUAAUCUUUCUUCCACUGCUUUCUUCUUUGACACAUGUCCGGCUGGAACCCUAAACCGUAUCUAGCCUUGUGGUGUACUGGCUUUAGAGCCCUGACUAUUCCUUGCAGAUAUCUCCCUAAACCUCUUUUCGCUCGAGCUCCCCUUCCUAUAGUCAACUUGACACCCAUUCUGGUAUUUCUCGACAGUUUUGGCACCAAAAUUCUAUUUCCCUCAGCGACAAAAGUGGCAUUGACAAAUUCAAUGGAUCAGAAGGAACAUUCUACUGCGUCUUUGCUUACUUCAAGAUAUGGCGCAUCAGCAGAGAUAGAUGCGAUAAUGUCUUCUCCCUCGACAGUGACCAAACAACCAUCCAUGAUCAACUUUAGUUUUUGAUGGAGAGAGGAUGGAACUGCUCUAGCAGAAUGGAUCCAGGGCCUUCCCUGAAGGCAGUUAUACGAGGGUGUGAUGUCCAUGACUUGGAACUCGACAUUGUAAAUGUAAGGGCCCACUUCUAAAGGGAUAUCAAUCUUUCCCAUGACUUCACGCAUUGUCCCAUUGAAUGCCCUUACCGUGGAAUGACAGGGCCUUAAAUAGGACAGAUCUAUCGGAAUUCUGAAAAGCGUGGCCAAAGGUAUGACAUUAAGUUCUGAGCCAUUAUCGAUAAGCACAUUCAGUAUUAUGUAGCCCUUGCAACGCGUCGUAAAAUGUAGUGCUUUCACAGAGCCUCUACCAUUGGGUGGUAUUUCAUCAUCACUAAAAGAAAUGAAAUUAUCCGCAUUUAAGUUGUUCACCCAUCUGUCCAGCUUCUUCAUGGAUAUAUUGUUUGCCACGUAAGCUUUAUUCAACACCUUCAGCAAAGCGUUCUGGUAUGGCUCCGAAUUUAGUAGCAGAGAUAAAAUCAAGAUUCGUUCUGGCUGCUUAUUCAAUUGUUCCACCACAUUGUAUUCACUGUGUUUGAUAAAUUUCAAGAACUCUUGUGCUUCCUCCUCAUCCACAGGCUUUUUAAUUUCUUGCACGGGUGGAAUUUCUUGCUCGACUUCGGCCUCAUGCAUCACUCUUUCCCUUUUUGCUUCCAGUCACUAUUCUUCUUCACUGGUUCGACCUCUUUCGAAUAACUUCUACUCCGGGUAAAAUGACCUACCUCUCCAACAUCUCCAGUUAUGGCUUUGAGCUUUUCAUCUUCCGGUGUGACGAUAUUGAUGUCAUAUUUCUAUGGUACAGCUUUGUCGUCCUUGUACGGGAAAGGAGACGGUACUUCGAUUAUCAUUUUUAGUUUCACCGACUCUUUCGUCGCAUCGUAAUAAAUUAUUAACGGUCGAUCCGCGCUAUAAGGGAGACCUAAUGACUGGUUGUCAGAAGUGCAUACUUCUCUUUCGUUGGUCUCUUCCCUCUUGUUAAGGACCUUAAUCUCCUUAUUAUCCAUCCGAUCUUGAAGCAACCUUUUAAAUUCCUCACACGACUGAAUGUCGUGUCCUACAAUUCCAUGAAAAUUGCAAAAACUUUGACCUUCUCCGAGGAUUCUAUCGGGGUGACAAAGCAAUCCUUUUUAACCAGUACCUCCCAGAUUUUCUGCAGAGGCGUCCUUAUUUUUAAAACACAUCUUCUGACUUUCCAUUCGUCAUCUUUCCCCACUGUGCUCACAUUCCCUUCAGCAUGGUUAGAGAAUGGGUUCCCAGUUGCGUUACUGGCACUAUCAAACCGUAAUAUACCCGCAUCAAUGAGUCCUUGAACUCUCCUCUUAAAGGCUAGGCAAUUCUCCGUGGAAUGCCCCUGGUUCCUCGCGUGGUAUGCACAACUAGCGUUUGGAUCGUACCACUUUGGGUAUGGAGGUUUAAGGGGUGCCAUGUAAUGGGGAGAAAGUAGCUGUUUCUCCAGAAGUUUUGGGUACAAUUCCCCAUACGACACAGGGAUAAGAGUAAAUUGCAGUCUCUCGGGAUUAGGCCUUGCUGGUCUUAGUUCGUUUCUAGGCUGGCUUUGAGUGGGUACCGUGUUUUGUGGGAAUGUGGUGACGGGUCUUUGGUUGUUCGUGGCGUAUACAGGGUAGGAAGGAGGUGGUGCUUGGUAGUAAGGGGUUUGAGGGGGAUAAUAGAAAUUUGGAGGUGGAUAACUUCAAGGUCGGGGUUGGUUUGGAUAUGGAUUAGGGGCAUAACGACUUCCCAUUCCCACCAUGUGGGCUUCUAGUUCUUUCUUCAUGGGUGCUACCCUUCUUGAACUUUCUUGACCUUCCAUUCUACCGCUCUUGACGGCGUUUUCUAUAAGCUCACCGGAUAUUACAAUAUCCGCGAAGUCCUUCGUAAAGCUUCCCACUAGUUUGUCAUAAAACAGCGUCUUUAAGGUGUUGAUAAAAAGGACGAUUAUCUCCGUUUUCAUUAGUGGGGGUUCCACUUGGGCUGAGAUGUCCCUCCAUCUCUGCGCGUACUGUCUAAAAGUUUCUGGCGACUUUUUCUCCAUCAUUUGUAAAGUCAUCCGAUCAGACACCAUAUCUAAUACAUGCUUGUACUGCUCACAGAAUACCGACGCCAAGUCUUUCCAAGAUCGGAUCCUUUCCUUACUGAGCUGGUUGUACCACCGAAGAGCCGAUCCUACUAGACUGUCUUGAAAACAAUGUACAAGUAGCUUAUCUUCGUUCACGUAACCGGUCAUUUUUCGGUAAAACAUGACAAGAUGUGCUUUUGGACAUCUUGUCCCAUCGUACUUUUCGAAAUCAAGCACCUUGAACUUCGGAGGCAAGAUUAGGUCAGGUACCAAACUAAGUUAUUUAGCACCUAGUACCGAGAAGACUUCAGUGUCUUCUAUUGCCUUGAGUUUUUCUUCCAAAUUCCUAUACUUCUCUUGAGCCUCGUGAUCAUCUAUUUUCAACUUGGCUAUUUCGACUGGAUCAUCUAAAUCUGGAACUACAGGAUUGGCAGGGGUUGUUCCGGGAUUUGACAUAAAUGUUCCUUGCACUAGAUGAGCAAAUGGCAUAGGUCGUUGUUCCAAGCCUUUGGAUUCCCCUUGAGUAUACCCUCUUUGUGCUACGUGGGAAUGUGGUGGAGUGAAUCUUGGAGGAUAGAGUGGAUCCUGGUCAUGAUUAAUUCUUGAUUGAGGUUCCAUACUGUAGGGGUUCUGCAUGGGUCCUUUUCUUUUGACCGAAACUGAUAUCAUCUCCAUCAUUCUAGCCAUUUGAUCAUUUUAUUCAAGUGAUUCCUCCCGAGAUCUUACUAUCAAAUCCCCCGUUUCUUGCUGUGACUUAGCCAAUUGUUCUUGUAAUUCCUUCUGGACUCUUUCCAUCUUUUCGAUCCUUUCAUUGAACUCAGCCUCCAUUGCUCUGGCUUGUCGACGCGUUUUAUACGAAUGGUGUGAUUUCAGAUUUAAAGUGUUGCAACUGCGAAUUAUAUGAUUCUAACCUUAACGAAUGAUUAUGGGAUAUGUAUAUGCAAUGAAUGGAUGAAUUGAUGCAAAAAGAGGCGUUGAUUCCAAUUCAAUUUCAUUAGAACUUCACUAGAAGAAAAAUUUCUUUACAUAGAACAGAUGAUUACAUAUACGACUUCGCCCUAAUGCCCAAAGUCUUUUCUUAAGAAGCCAAGCUAAGCUUCGGCCUCAGUCUGAUUCCGAAUCGUACUUUAAGCUCAAUAUAUCAGCCUGAACUGCCAAGGUUUGCAAGUGAUCAGUUAUCUCUCGAACCUAAGCUAUAGCUUCGCCCAUGACAAAGUCUCUAUCUCUAAUUUGGUUUUAAGAGUGGUGAAACUGUUCUCUGUAAUGGUCAUUGUUUGUCUCAAGAAGUCCCACUCAAAUUUUGCUAUCUUGCAGUGCGGUCUCGAGUUCUUCUAUUUUCCCUUUCAACUCUUCGAUCCUGCUCAGACUAGCCUUUAACUUAAUUAUCGAAUUAUGGCUAUGAUGCUGCUGAAGUAAUCUUUCCAAUUUAGCCACCUGAGCUCGUAACUUCUCUUUUUCAUUUUGGGUUUCUAACAAACUCUUCUUCAGAGUGUCCUCUCGUACUCGGGCAUCUUGAAAUCUUUUCUCCCAAUGGUCGGCUCUAGUCUUUUCCUCUUUAAUCUCUUGACGCCAUUGCUCAGACAUUUUACCUAAUCCGACAAUUUUUAUUGUUAUACGAAGCUUCUUGUAAUCGAUUUUCAGACUAUCUAAAUCUUCCUCGGCCUUGUUCUUUCCUUUCUUUAACUUCUCGGCCUCUAGCUUGUGGAAAUCGACGUCUAACCCCAACUUCAUUUUAUAUUCUUCUAACUACUCUAUCUUCUUCCCCAACUCCGAGUUUUUUUCUUAAAAUCUUGCUUAAUGAUCUCUAACUCAGAUGGGAUGACCCGUAAAUACUCCUCUAUCAGUUGUGUGUUCCCUUGAUUCUGCCUAGGGAUGUUGUCGUUGACUCUCCUACCCUACCACCAUUUAUACUCGGGGGUCGUCAUCGGGCCUGCAGUGAAUCCUUUCAUUCUUCGAGUUUGGUUCCAUGCAUCUAAUAUCUCGCGAACCCUCUUUUUAUAAUUGUUGUCUUUAUAGGGGAACUCACAUUUUGCCAACCCUUGUGUCACCGGUAUAAACUGCCUUGAUACUUCCUUAACACCAUCAAUGGAGCGUAUCCAAUGGCUCCCCAUAUUCCAACCAGAGGGACGCAGUCAAAAUCACCGCACCUAUAUAAGAUCUCGUCAGGAAUAAACCACGGAGCCCUCCAUUCAAUGUCUUCGGUCCGUAAAUUUUAGAGAAUAGUUAUCCACUUCUCUUCGGAGAUGUCGUCCCGCCUCGAUGUGGCCACUAAUUCUCUUAAUGGGGAAUAAUCCUUAGAGAAUACCCGAUAGGAGACCUUUUCCACCUUCUAAAAAUGACUAUGGAACCAAGCCAAAAGAAGCUGUGUGCAACCAAUAAAUCUUCCCUCGCCCGCUCUCCGGCAUGUAUUCAAGGAUCGAAAAGUUUCUGCUAGGAUUGUCAGGACGGGUGUGGUACCUUUAUCAAGUCGAUCGAAUAAAUCUGAGACGGUUUCAUCUAUGUGUCCAAGUGCUUUAGGAAAGACGAUCAAAUCGUAGACUUAAGGCAUAAACAUCAACCCUUUUCUUCGAAUCCGGGUGCGCAAGAAUAAAAUCCCUCAAAUUCCUCCAAUGAAUACAUUUACUAUCCCCUUUUUGCUUGAUGCGGGUCGCAACCCAUUGCUCGCUCAUCCCCGUGAUAUUCAUCAAUUUCUUCAAAAAGGGAGGGACAUUAACAGCUCUUGAAUAGGCCUUAUCGGCCUGAAUCUUUGGGCAAUUAAGUAACACCAUGUUUUCCUCCACCGUAGGUACUAAAUCAACUCCUCCGAAAGUGAAGCAACUGUAAGUGGGGUUCCAAAAUUGCGCGAGGGCCCGAAACAAGUACUUGUCCACCUUUACAUCGAGUAAAUAGGGUAGGCCGUCGUAGUUACAGUAAAAGAGUUGUUUGACUUCGCCAUUCUGACUAUUCCAUAUAUCCCUUAACUCUUGCAGGUCGUUCUGAGUCACACUGAUGCGAGUGAAAUCCCACAACUCCGAUUCAUAUCCCUCGGUCAAACUAUCUCCUUUCUCUUGUUGCGUUCUCUCAGACCACACUCGGACGGCCGCAUUAUCCUCCAUUCUAUCAAGAAAUCAUUUUUCCAUGCUAAACUCUUCUAAUUAGUAACCAAAUGUAAAUCAACACCCUUUUAUGAUGAAAUGUCAUACAAAAAUGAUCAAAAUACAACAAGUUAAUAUUAUAUACAAAGAAUAGAAUUCAAAGCAAAUAGUGAGUAAAUAAGCACCUAAUCAGGUAACCACUAGGGUUUGGUGUGGUUCUACUUAGGCUAGGCUCCUAGGGCUCAUUACAUGUAGUUUGGUUCUAAAGUAAAGGUACCUGAACCAGCAGAUUCCUCGAUCCUCACCCAUUAUAGGUUCAUACAGACCGAGUUCGAUUCAGGGGAAUACAUUUUCCUACGGCUAUACGGAGGUGAAAACCCCAUGAAGACGCAGGUACGGAUGUAUCCCGAAAGCGAUCCACUAUCCUAUACGGAGGUGAAUACCUCACGAAGAAGUAGGUUUUCACUUCCACUUAAGAGGGUGAAAUCAACCAAUAAUGCGAUGCGAUAUGCAAAGAUACCUCAAAGAAUUAAACCACUUAAAGCAAGCAUAUUAUGAAGAGUCGCGAAAAUAACAGACAACAUUCAAUGCAGUAAAUUUAAAAUUGAUUUUCAAUUUUUGACAAAAGAAAAAAAAAUCAAUUUAAGGCUCGACUCUCGAAGUCCCCAGUGGAGUCGUCAAGCUGUCGAAACCAUUCUUUUGAAAACGGAGAUCAGACUUUGUUUGAAAGUGAAAAUUAAAACGGGAGUCGCCACCAAUCUUUUAUCAGGUGUGAUCGGAUCACCUUUGUUUUAAUAAAUCAAUUUUAGUUUACUAAAACAAGGCCUUUGGUAUACGAAACUUGAGAGAAUGAGUUCGGGAGUCGAUUACGUGCGAAGAAGAAUUAGCACCCUCGACACGCCCAAAAAAUUGGUACCGAAUUGAUUAGUUAGUGUCUUAAUAUCGAAAAUUAAAAAUCGGGAAGGGGCUUGAAAUACGAUCUUUUCUAUUAAUACUGAUUUUAAAAUUCUUGAAUUAGCUUAAAUAGAUUUGUUUAAAGAUUUCCUUAUCUCGAGAUAUAGGAGUAUCACAUCCCGUAAGUUAGGACACAAUACCAUGAAUUCCCGAGCACAAGAUUGUCUUUUAAUUUAAAUUGGAAAUCCGUGCAUUUCAAAACUCAAAAGGAUAUUUAGCUAUUUAGAACCAACAAGAGAACCGAAACCCCGUAAGUUAGGGCACAAUUCUUCGAUGUUCCAAAAUGCGAAACAUUUAUCUUAUUUAUUGAAAUUAGUAAAAACAUGAAUAAAAAUCUUUAAAAUAAUGAACAACAGAAUGAUAUAAAAUAGGCGGGAGACAAAAAUAAACGAGUUGGAAAUACAUUGAAACAAAUAAUAAAUAUGACAACAAUAUUAAAACAAUAACAAUGCAUGCGAUAUAUUAAAUGUAAUAAUAGUAUCCAAUGUGAAAUAAAAACAACGAAUAUAUACAUAAUAAAGAUAUUAAGAGUAUGUACGUAAAAUAUAUAUAUAUAUUUAUAAAUAGUAAUAGUGUUAGAAAUAUACUAUAUAUAGUGUUUGAAGUAUAUACAUAAAAUAGUGAAAAUAUAACUAGUAAUGUUAAGAUAUAUAUAAUAUAUACAUAUGUAUGAAAUAGAUAUAAAAAAAAUAUGUACAUAAUAUAGUGUAAAAAAUACAUACAUAAUAUAAUUAAAAUAUAUACAUAAUAUAACAUGUAGAAAAAAAAAUAUAAAUAAUAUAGUAUUAAAGAUAUAUACAUAAAAUAGUAUAAUAUAUAUACGUAAUAUAGAAUUUAGAAUAUACCUAAUAUAUUAAAAGAAUAUAUAUAUAAUAUAAUAUUAAAAAAUAUAAUAAUAACAAAAAAAAGAGGGAGAGAGUGGGUGAUUUCCGACCACCGUCCGGUCACCGAACCGCCGCCGGCCGCUGUCAGUGCCACCGUACAUGGCAGCUGGACCUCAAAAAAACUUUUUCGGUAAAAAUGAGAAACCUUCCUCCUUUUAUUUUUACUUUCGUAUAAAAGAAACAAAAUAAAACUGAAAGGAAAACAAUAAGCAAACAAAGAACUUAAAACGAGAAUAGACCAAGAAACCUCUUUUGCUUUGAUAUUUGAUUAAUCUCCAAAAAAAAACUAGUCUCUCCAAAAACUAGCCUUUACAAUAACUCUUCUUCUUGAUAACUCUAAAAAAAACCUCUUAAAAAUCCUUUACAAUAACUUUCUCCCUCAAAACUUCUUCCCCUAAAUACAAAAUAUGAGAAGGCUUAUAUAGCCAUUUACCAAAUAUUUUUUAUUGUUUAUGUCCUCAUUUGUAGUUACAAGUGGUGGUAAAGCAAGUGUGGCUAAUGGAGUAGGUGGUGGAGCAAGUGUGGGUAGUGAAAUAGGUGGUAGAGCAAGUGUGGCUAGUGGAGUUGGUGGUGGCAAAAGAUAGGAUUUAGUUGAGAAAAAUUUAGGUUGUGGGCUGGGGUUUUUUUAUUUUGAUUUGGGCUUAGGGUUUGGGCCAUUGGGAUUUUGAUGUAAAUUGGGCUUUGAGUAGUUAAGAUUUUGGGUUUUGGGUUUAAUUUUGAUGGGUUAGGUAAGGGUAAAUUGGAUUUUGAUGUAAAUGAGUUUAAAUUGGCCUACAACAUCUAUAUUACAGAAGAAUGAUGGCGUCCGCAACUUACCGAAGGUGCCCAAACAGGACGGAAAUGAAGGAGCAUGUUUUUAGGGAGUGUCCUAUUGCAAAUGAGACAUGGGAAAAGUUAGGCUUUAACUGGCCUACUUUUGGGGAAAGUACUGGUUUUAAAGAUUGGCUUAAAUGUAUUUUUGAGUUAAACUCUUUGAACAAGUGUAGGGUGAUUGCAUUUGCUAUGUGGGUGAUCUAGACAUCAAGAAACAGGUUUAUUCAUGAAGGUUAAGAACAAUCUGGGACUCAAAUGGCAGAUUUCAUAACAAACUACAUCAAAGAACUUGAUGGGUUGAGUAUGCGCUUACCAGUGAAUGGUUUCAGACGGGUAGAUGGGUCGUGCCGACUAACCCGUAGGUUAGAAUCAACUUUGAUGCUGCUUUUAAUAAGGAGAAGAAUGAGUCAUGCUCGGGGUUAGUAAUACGGAAUGCUAGGGCAGAGGUGAUUUGCUCAAAAUCAGUUAUUCAUAAGAAUAUACCUUCUGCUUUUGCUGCGGAAGUGAUGGCAUAUCUCCAGGCGGUCCAUCUUGGGUUAUCUCUUGAGUUGAGAGAGGUUGAGAUUAAAGGUGACUCGCGAUCGGUGAUUCAGAAACUGCAAAAAGGAAAGGAAGACAGAUCAGAAAUCGAAGUUUUCAUUAAAGAUUCAAAGUAUCUGAGCCUUGGCUUUGAAUCCUGUAUUUUUCGGUGUAUCCCUAGAGAAUCUAAUAAAAUUGCUCAUUUCAUAGCGAAAGAGGGAUUAUAGAAGAACGAAUCAACUUAUCUGCUGGGCAUGGUUUUGAUUGGAGCGGAGGAAGCUAUGGUGGCCGAUCAAAGUUGGAGGGUUUCUUUGGGGGACUGAAUCGUUGGAUUUGCUGUUGGAAAGAUUUAGGAUGAAGUUUGAAAAGCCAGGAUGAUUUGUGAUGUUUAGAAGUUUUUCUGUGGAAAUGAUGGCUCUUGCUGAGAAUUAAAGAAAGCACAUCGAUUCACAGGUGGCUUUGUUGCUUUUGAGGGAUAGGUUUAUUAAAUGGUUUACAGCUGGCUAAAGAAGUCUCUAGAGCUACCCGUCUUGCUUUGCUGGAUCUUUUGUUGUUUUAUUUUGUUUCUGUUUUUUGGCCCGGGAUUGUUCGGCUUGGUUUUGGGAUAUUUGUUUUGGAUUUGUUUUGUCUUAUUGAAUAUAAGAUCUAGAUGUUUUACUCAAAAAAAUAAUUUUUUGAGAGAUAUAUUAUAUAUUUAAAAUUUUUUAA